rnacentral:rRNA from 1 species
CAGGUAACCUGCCGCGCAGAGGGGGAUAACGACUGGAAACGGUCGCUAAUACCGCAUGGUACUACACUGACGGGAGUCAGUGUGGUUAAAACCUUGGUGCUGCGCGAGGGUCUGCGUCCGAUUAGUUAGUUGGUGAGGUAAUGGCUCACCAAGACGAUGAUCGGUAGCUGGUCUGAGAGGAUGGCCAGCCACACGUGGGACUGAGACACGGCCCAGACUCCGUAGGGAG